rnacentral:rRNA from 1 species
UACAUAAGGAGCAAGCGUUGUCCGGAAUCAUUGGGCGUAAAGAGCUCGUAGGCGGUAUCGAAAGUCAGCUGUGAAAUCACCAGGCUCAACCUGGUAGGGUCAGCUGAAACUUCGGUACUUGAGUGUAGAAGAGGAAAGCGGAAUUCCCGGUGUAGCGGUGAAAUGCGUAGAUAUAUGGAGGAACACCAGUGGCGAAGGCGACUCUCUGGUCUGUAACUGACGCUGAGGCUCGAAAGCGUGGGGAGCAAACAGGAUUAGA